GCGCUUACAUUUUUUUUACGGUACAUUGUUGAUUUAAUGUUUGAAUUCUUUUAUAAUUUUAGUAUGUGGUCAAUUAUUAGAAAAUGACACCGGAACAUUGGAAACAACUAUUUAUGUGAAUACUUCAACAACUACUACAAAACAUUGUGAAUGGAGCAUUGUAGCAUCGCGUGGUGAACAAAUUGUCCUUGAGAUAACAACAUUGAAUAUCCUUGAAAGUAAGGACUGUACGAUUGAUUAUUUAGAUAUCAGAGACGAAUAUAAAACUGGAUACAAUUCCUUAGGUCGUUUUUGUGGAAAAAAAAGCAUUACGUAAACAGUGGGUUCUAGUGAUAGUCGAAUCCUUGUCACCUAUCACGCUAAUAAUGCUAAUGAAGAAUAUUUUGGUUUUAAAGCAAAAUACCAUACACAUUUUGAAGGUGAUAUUGAAAUAAACAAUAAGGACCAAGAAUAUUUCUUAGAAUCACCAGGUUUUCCAAACGAGUAUCCACCUAACAAAUAUAGAGUAUGGUAUCUAGUUGCCCCUCUUAACAGCAGAAUAAUUUUAAAAUUUACUUAUUUUGAUCUUGAAACAUCUGAGAAUUGUAAUAAUGAUUACGUUGAAAUUCGAAAUGGUGAUGCUUAUUAUUCGCCAUUAAUUGGAAAAUAUUGCAAUAAUACUAGCCCAGAAGUGAUUUGGUCUAAAGGAUAUGCCUUAUAUGUUAAAUUUGUUAGCAAUGACAAAGUUCAAGGAGGUGGAUUUUCGGGAAUCAUAACUUUGCGUUAAAACAAAACUCUUCAGUAAAACUUCCA